UCUUCUCUUCUCUGCUUCAUCCACUGAAAUUUUGGCAUCCAUUUUCAUCCAGCUCAUUUACUCGGCUUCACUUCACGCCCCUGUCCUGUGUGCUCCCUUUUUCGUGUAUGUAAGAAGUCAAGAAAACUGUCUGCUGUCACUGCCACUGCCACUUCAUUGGCUUGUUUCAAUGCAAGUUCGUUCUCUCGCCCUCACAUGGCAGUCGAUGAUCAUCAUCAUUGUCCCUUUCUUUUGGAAAUGGAAUAAUUAAUGGCGGGUACUUUUUCCACUGUGUACAGGGAGCCGGGAGGGAGGGCACUGGCACUGGCACUCACUUUAUAGCCAUGGCAGAUUCAUCAAUGCGUUGCAGACAGACACUACUACUUGUACUUAACAAACUUCAUCACCACAGGGAUCGUUUUCUCUCUGCAAUCAUUCAUUAACUCAACUCGCCAUGUUCCUUCCUGCUUUUCUUUCAUUGGGACACCACAUGAUUAACAAAAGCAUCUUUUUAGCACGCAACUCUCCACUCAGCUGCAGCAGCCGGAAAUACGCGCCGUCGGGCCUGCCGAUGAGGUCCCCGUGGCUGCCUUGCUCCACGAUGCGCCCAUCUUGAACCACGGCAAUAGAGUUCACCCCACAUAUGGUGGACAGCCGGUGCGCGACGAGCACCGUGGUUCUGCCUUUCAUAAGCCUAUCGAGUGCUUCCUGCAGCACGCAUUCAGACUCUGCGUCGAGAGCACUCGUGGCCUCAUCGAGCAAGAGGAUCGAUGGGUCCUUGAGGACAGCUCGCGCAAUGGCAAUUCGUUGCUUUUGUCCUCCAGAGAGCUGGACGCCUCUCUCGCCUACAGGGGUUUUGUACCCCUCGGGCAAACCACUGACAAAUGUGUGCACAUUGGCUGCACGCGCUGCUUCGACGACCUCUGAUUCAGUUGCGCCAUCUUUGCCGUAAGCGAUGUUGUCAAAAAUGCUGGCUGCAAACAGCGCCGGUUCUUGCUGAACUAGACCAAUCUUUAGGCGAAGGGACUUCAAGUGUAGUCUCCGAAUGUCUUUGCCAUCAAUCAUGACUUUCCCUCCGAUAGGAUCGUAAAACCUCUCGAUCAGGGCUAUGACCGAACUCUUUCCCGAACCACUUGCGCCAACUAAAGCUUGGCU